CGCGUAUGCAACCUGCCUACUACAGGGGGAUAGGCUUCUGAAAGGGAGAUUAAUACCGCAUAAUAUAUAAGAUUCGCAUGGAUUUUAUAUUAAAGAGUUUUUGGUAGUAGAUGGGCAUGCGUUUCAUUAGCUAGUUGGUAAGGUAACGGCUUACCAAGGCUACGAUGAAUAGGGGAACUGAGAGGUUUAUCCCCCACACUGGGACUGAGACACGGCCCAGACUCCUACGGGAGGCAGCAGUGAGGAAUAUUGGUCAAUGGGCGAGAGCCUGAACCAGCCAAGUCGCGUGAAGGAUGACUGCCCUAUGGGUUGUAAACUUCUUUUGUACAGGAGUAAAGGAUAUUACGUGUAAUAUUUUGCAAGUACUGUACGAAUAAGCAUCGGCUAACUCCGUGCCAGCAGCCGCGGUAAUACGGAGGAUGCGAGCGUUAUCCGGAUUUAUUGUGUUUAAAGGGUGCGUAGGCCGUAAUUUAAGUCAGUGGUCAAAUUUCCGGGCUCAACCCGGUCUUGCCAUUGAAACUGGAUUACUUGAGUUUAAGCGAGGUAGGCGGAAUUUGUAGUGUAGCGGUGAAAUGCAUAGAUAUUACAAGGAACUCCGAUUGCGUAGGCAGCUUACUAGUUUAUAACUGACGCUGAAGCACGAAGGCGUGGG
rnacentral:rRNA from 1 species